UUAUGGUUAGCUGGUCUGAGAGGAUGAUCAGCCACACUGGAACUGACACACGGUCCAGACUCCUACGGGAGGCAGCAGUGAGGAAUUUUGCGCAAUGGGGGAAACCCUGACGCAGCAACGCCGCGUGAGUGAUGAAGGCUUUCGGGUCGUAAAGCUCUGUCAAGUGGGAAGAACUCAUAUGGUGUUAAUAUCUCCAUAUGUUGACGGUACCACUGAAGGAAGCACCGGCUAACUCCGUGCCAGCAGCCGCGGUAAUACGGGGGGUGCGAGCGUUAUUCGGAAUUACUGGGCGUAAAGAGCGCGUAGGCGGUCUUUUAAGUCAGGUGUGAAAGCCCGGGGCUCAACCCCGGAAGUGCACUUGAAACUAAGAGACUUGAGUAUGGGAGAGGGAAGUGGAAUUCCUGGUGUAGCGGUGAAAUGCGUAGAUAUCAGGAGGAACAUCAGUGGCGAAGGCGACUUCCUGGACCAAUACUGACGCUGAGGCGCGAAGGCGUGGGAGCAAACAGGAUUAGAUACCCUGGUAGUCCACGCAGUAAACGGUGAACACUAGGUGUAGCGGGUAUUGACCCCUGCUGUGCCGCAGCAAACGCAUUAAGUGUUCCGCCUGGGGAGUACGGCCGCAAGGUUAAAACUCAAAGGAAUUGACGGGGGCCCGCACAAGCGGUGGAGCAUGUGGUUUAAUUCGACGCAACGCGAAGAACCUUACCUAGGUUUGACAUCCCGGGAAUCCUGUGGAAACACGGGAGUGCCCUUCGGGGAACUCGGUGACAGGUGCUGCAUGGCUGUCGUCAGCUCGUGUCGUGAGGUGUUGGGUUAAGUCCCGCAACGAGCGCAACCCCUUUCUUUAGUUACCAUCAUUUAGUUGGGGACUCUAAAGACACUGCCCCGGUUAACGGGGAGGAAGGUGGGGAUGACGUCAAGUCCUCAUGGCCUUUAUGCCUAGGGCUACACACGUGCUACAAUGGACUGUACAAAGGGUUGCCAGCCUGUGAAGGUGAGCCAAUCCCAUAAAGCAGUUCGUAGUUCGGAUUGGAGUCUGCAACUCGACUCCAUGAAGCUGGAAUCGCUAGUAAUCGUGGAUCAGCACGCCACGGUGAAUACGUUCCCGGGCCUUGUACACACCGCCCGUCACACCAUGAGAGUUGGUUGUACCAGAAGUCGUUGGGCAAACCUUUACAGGAUGCAGGCGCCUAAGGUAUGGCUGAUGAUUGGGGUGAAGUCGUAACAAGGUA
rnacentral:rRNA from 1 species